AUUGAACGCUGGCGGCAGGCCUAACACAUGCAAGUCGAGCGGUAACAGAAAGUAGCUUGCUACUUUGCUGACGAGCGGCGGACGGGUGAGUAAUGCUUGGGAACAUGCCUUGAGGUGGGGGACAACAGUUGGAAACGACUGCUAAUACCGCAUAAUGUCUACGGACCAAAGGGGGCUUCGGCUCUCGCCUUUAGAUUGGCCCAAGUGGGAUUAGCUAGUUGGUGAGGUAAUGGCUCACCAAGGCGACGAUCCCUAGCUGGUUUGAGAGGAUGAUCAGCCACACUGGGACUGAGACACGGCCCAGACUCCUACGGGAGGCAGCAGUGGGGAAUAUUGCACAAUGGGCGCAAGCCUGAUGCAGCCAUGCCGCGUGUGUGAAGAAGGCCUUCGGGUUGUAAAGCACUUUCAGUCAGGAGGAAAGGUUAGUAGUUAAUACCUGCUAGCUGUGACGUUACUGACAGAAGAAGCACCGGCUAACUCCGUGCCAGCAGCCGCGGUAAUACGGAGGGUGCGAGCGUUAAUCGGAAUUACUGGGCGUAAAGCGUACGCAGGCGGUUUGUUAAGCGAGAUGUGAAAGCCCCGGGCUCAACCUGGGAACUGCAUUUCGAACUGGCAAACUAGAGUGUGAUAGAGGGUGGUAGAAUUUCAGGUGUAGCGGUGAAAUGCGUAGAGAUCUGAAGGAAUACCGAUGGCGAAGGCAGCCACCUGGGUCAACACUGACGCUCAUGUACGAAAGCGUGGGGAGCAAAC
rnacentral:rRNA from 1 species